rnacentral:rRNA from 1 species
UGGGGAAUAUUGCGCAAUGGGGGAAACCCUGACGCAGCGACGCCGCGUGAAGGAAGAAGGUUUUCGGAUCGUAAACUUUUGUCAUCGGGGACGAGAAUGGACGGUACCCGAGGAGGAAGCCACGGCUAACUACGUGCCAGCAGCCGCGGUAAUACGUAGGUGGCGAGCGUUGUCCGGAAUUACUGGGUGUAAAGGGCGUGUAGGCGGGAAAGCAAGUCAGAUGUGAAAUACCGGGGCUUAACUCCGGGGCUGCAUCUGAAACUGUUUUUCUUGAGUGUCGGAGAGGAAAGCGGAAUUCCUAGUGUAGCGGUGAAAUGCGUAGAUAUUAGGAGGAACACCAGUGGCGAAGGCGGCUUUCUGGACGACAACUGACGCUGAGGCGCGAAAGCGUGGGGAGCAAACAGG